UGCCUGCCCAGUGACCACCCGGUUCAACGGCCGCGGUAUCCUAACCGUGCGAAGGUAGCGCAAUCAAUUGUCCCAUAAAUCGGGACUUGUAUGAAUGGCUAAACGAGGCCUUAACUGUCUCUUACGGAUAGCCAGUGAAAUUGAUCCCCCUGUGCAAAAGCAGGGAUAAACACAUAAGACGAGAAGACCCUGUGGAACUUAAAAAACAGAAGCCACCGUGCACACAUACCCACCUAUUAGGUUUACAACUCCAUAGCCCGGACACUGGCUUACAUUUUUUCGGUUGGGGCGACCUUGGAGAAAAGAAAACCCUCCAAAAAUAAGACCUCCCUUCUUAACUGAGAGCAACCCCUCAAAGUGCUAAUAGUAACCAGACCCAAUAAAAAUUGAUCAAUGGACCAAGCUACCCCAGGGAUAACAGCGCAAUCUCUCCUAAGAGCCCCUAUCGACGGAGAGGUUUACGACCUC
rnacentral:rRNA from 1 species